rnacentral:misc_RNA from 1 species
UACGGAGGGUGCAAGCGUUGUUCGGAAUUAUUGGGCGUAAAGCGCGCGUAGGCGGGACGUCGAGUCCGGUGUGAAAUCCCUCGGCUCAACCGAGGAAUUGCACUGGAUACUGGCGACCUCGAGUCCUGGAGAGGGUGGCGGAAUUCCCAGUGUAGAGGUGAAAUUCGUAGAUAUUGGGAGGAACACCGGUGGCGAAGGCGGCCACCUGGACAGUGACUGACGCUGAGGCGCGAAAGCAUGGGGAGCAAACAGG